UUUAUUUCUGGUAGUGCUAGAAUGUAAUUCUUUCUGUCACAGAACAGAUGAAGUGCACUGGUUUUGGAUAGUCAGUAUACACCAGAUGAAAGUACACUGUGUUCUGCCCCACCUGGAACACCCAACCCUGUUAUUGUGCUCUGCCUGCACAUCACCAGAGAUGUCAGCAAAGGGGAGCAAGUGAUGGUGGCUACGAGCUUCAUUUUUAUUUACAUUUUUGUGGACCUCAAGCAUGGAUCAGUAGCAGAGACUGGCAGAAUGUCAUCUGGACUCCAAAAGCCCCAGGACAAUGAGGGAGUUUCAUGGCAGCAACCUGCAGGAGCCAGCCGUGCAGCCGGGAACAGAGGUGACACCAGACAAGGGUACCUGCAGGAGAUUUUAGCCAGAGGCAGAGGUUCCAGGGCGAGGGCAGCAGCAGCCCCGUGCCCAGCCAUGCAGCCCCCGGGUUACAGCAAUGACAGCUUACCAAGGCAAGGACUGAAAACUUCUUGCCAUAUCUGCUGUUAAUUAAUAACUACUUACUUGGACCUGGAAAAGGCAAAAACUGAUCUGCCUCUCCUGGAAUACUGUACCUCCAGAUUAAUGAUAGGUUAUUGACCUGUUACUGCUCACAGCAGCUUUCUUCUUAAAAUAUGCUAAAGUAUUUAUUUUUACCUCUUAAAAAGGUAUAUGCACAUGAACAUUUAACAUUAUAUCACUGAUUUUGCACAUGACAACAAAUAAAAGAAAAAGGCUGAAUUUGUGUUCUUAUAACUUGCAGCUUUUACUGAGAAGCAUAGAUUUUUUUUUUAAUGGG
rnacentral:lncRNA from 1 species